GGUCAAGCUACUAAGGGCAUACGGUGGAUGCCUCGGCGGACGGAGGCGAUGAAGGACGUGGCGGGCUGCGAUAAGCCUCGGGGAGGUGCCGAGCAACCUGUGAUCCGAGGAUCUCCGAAUGGGGGAACCCGGCGUGCCUGAAGGCACGUCAUCACCGUGUGAAUCCAUAGCACGGUGAGGCGACACCCGGGGAAGUGAACCAUCUCAGUACCCGGAGGAAAAGAAAGCAAACCCACCGUCCGCGGUGGGCGUCACCGAUCGAAAGACCGGUGGCGGCGAUUCCCCUAGUAGCGGCGAGCGAACGGGGAACAGCCCAAACCUCGGGAGUGUCAAAGCCUGCCGGCGUUGCUCUCGAGGGGUUGCGGGAAUGGUCCGGACCGUGCGGCAGAACGGUCGGGGAGUUACAAAACGGGCGGUUAGCCGAAUGGUCCUGGAAAGGCCAGCCAGAGAGCGUGAUAGCCGCGUAGGCGAAAACCGACCCGUCUCCCUGGGACUAUCUCCCAAGUAACGCGGGACACGAGAAAUCCUGCGUGAAUCUGGGAGGACCACCUCCUAAGGCUAAAUACUCCCGUCCGACCGAUAGUGCACCAGUACCGUGAGGGAAAGGUGAAAAGAACCCCUGCAAGGGGAGUGAAAUAGACCUGAAACCGUAUGCCUACAAGCAGUGGGAGGGAUCAGCUCGGAUGCCCUCGGGUGUCCGGGUGGCCUGACCGCGUGCCUUUUGCUUAAUGAGCCGGCUAGUUCGUGUGUGCGGCAAGGCUAAGCCGAGGAAGGCGGAGCCGUAGCGAAAGCGAGUCCGAAUAGGGCGACGGAGUCGCACACACGAGACGCGAAGCGGGAUGAUCUACCCCUGGCCAGGGUGAAGCCGCGGUAACACGCGGUGGAGGCCCGAACCGGUGUUCGUUGAAAAGGGCUCGGAUGAGCUGGGGGUAGGGGUGAAAGGCCAAUCAAAUUCCGUGAUAGCUCGUUCUCCCCGAAAUAGCUGUAGGGCUAGCCUCGGGUGAAUACCACGGGUGGUAGAGCACUGGAUGGGCUAGGGGGCUUACCCGCCUACCAAACCCAACCAAACUCCGAAUGCCCGUGAGUCAUGCCCGGGAGUCAGACUGCGGGGGCUAAGCUCCGUGGUCGAGAGGGGAACAGCCCAGACCGUCGGCUAAGGUCCCCAAGUGCCGCCUAAGUGGGAAAGGAUGUGGAGUCGCGAUGACAGCCAGGAGGUUAGCUUAGAAGCAGCUAUCCUUUAAAGAGUGCGUAACAGCUCACUGGUCGAUGCGACUCUGCGCCGACAAUCCAACGGGGCUCAAGGCGGCCACCGAAGCCACGGAAUCGAGCAGGUCUUCGCCUCGCUCGGUUGGUAGGGGAGCAUUCCGGUUGCCUGCGAAGCCGCACCGCGAGGGCGGAUGGAGGCCCCGGAAGAGACUCUGCCGGCAUAAGUAGCGAUAACGCGGGUGAGAACCCCGCGCGCCGAAAGCCUAAGGUUUCCUCUGUGAAGUCAGUCUGCAGAGGGUUAGCCGGUGCCUAAGGCGAGGCCGAAAGGCGUAGCCGAAGGGAAGCAGGUGAAUAUUCCUGCGCCACCUUCCGUGCGCUAGGAGCCUGGGGGGACGCCGAAGGAUAGGCCGGUCGGGUGAUGGACGUCCCGAU
rnacentral:rRNA from 1 species